CUUGAGGAUCUGGGUAUCCAGCGAGGUAUUUCUGAGCCACAUUCUGUGCAGGUGGGAACCUAUUUGGGACUGGGUUUAGGAUGGACCCUGGUACGGCAUACCCAGUUGGAGCCCUGAUGGCUUAAUUUUAAGAAUAUCAAUUCACCUGUGGUUCAUUGAGACUGUUACUGGCUUUAAGCCAUGUCAGGGUUCUGAGCUCUUAGAGCUGUUUAUUCAGGGAGGAUGUUCAGUCGUAGCCCGGCUGAGUCAAGAGCCUAACGGGGGGCUUUGGAUGUUGCUGUGAUGGAAGUAAAGGGUAUUUGUUUGAAUACAUAGAGGAAGAUGACAAGUGUGCAUGGAUGAUUUUACGUAAUUAACACCUGCUAGAUUUGCAAAAGGCAGUUAUCACUGUGAAGUGUUUACAUUGAUUUAUGGGAGGAAGGCGGCCCAUGAGAGGGAUGCUGAUAAUAUCAACACAGUGGAUUAAGUGCACGUUUACACCUUUAUUGACUUAUAAAUUACCUGUGCCAGGAAUGCGCUGAAAAGGCUGCUGAUGGAGCAGUAAUGUGGCACAAACUACCGGGUUUGGAUUCAGCUCUGCCAUCCUUCUCUAAGGCACUUUCAUGGAAACCUUCGUCUGAGCUACUGUAGGAUACAGAGGCUCGCAGAAUGGCUGCUUGUUAGGAUAAUGAGCAGUGAUGGCAAACGGGAAUUUAGAAGAAUGAUAAAAGACAAUGGACGAGGUUUGAAGGAAUUGUCUCGCCUUUUUUUAAAUUAUUUUUAGAUUUUUGUUGUUUAUACUAUGGAUUUUUAGAGAAAGCUUGAAGAGGCUGCAAGAGUCUUUGUAGCAGGGAAAUGGAAUCUGGCUCUGAAUCCAGCCAACAUCAGAAAAGAAAGAUUGUGACACAUGGACUGGAAGAUCAAAAAAGGGCCAGAAAGGAAAAGAAAUGUUAGCCCAGCCUCAUGCCACUCGUUCCUGACAGCAUGGCAUGAGGAUCAGAGAUUUAUCUGGAGAUUAAGGAGCAAGAGCAAAGGGCCUGGAGGUAGGAGAACACAAACCUGAGUGGUCUGGUAUACAGAACUGUGGG
rnacentral:lncRNA from 1 species